rnacentral:rRNA from 1 species
ACCCGCUGAACUUAAGCAUAUCAAUAAGCGGAGGAAAAGAAACCAACAGGGAUUGCCUUAGUAGCGGCGAGUGAAGCGGCAAAAGCUCAAAUUUGAAAUCUGGCACUUUCAGUGUCCGAGUUGUAAUUUGAAGAAGGUAUCUUUGGGUCUGGCUCUUGUCUAUGUUUCUUGGAACAGAACGUCACAGAGGGUGAGAAUCCCGUGCGAUGAGAUGUCCCAGACCUAUGUAAAGUUCCUUCGAAGAGUCGAGUUGUUUGGGAAUGCAGCUCUAAGUGGGUGGUAAAUUCCAUCUAAAGCUAAAUAUUGGCGAGAGACCGAUAGCGAACAAGUACAGUGAUGGAAAGAUGAAAAGAACUUUGAAAAGAGAGUGAAAAAGUACGUGAAAUUGUUGAAAGGGAAGGGCUUGAGAUCAGACUUGGUAUUUUGUAUGUUACUCUCUCGGGGGUGGCCUCUACAGUUUACCGGGCCAGCAUCAGUUUGAGCGGUAGGAUAAGUGCAAAGAAAUGUGGCACUGCUUCGGUAGUGUGUUAUAGUCUUUGUCGAUACUGCCAGCUUAGACUGAGGACUGCGG